AUUGAACGCUGGCGGCAGGCCUAACACAUGCAAGUCGAGCGGAUGAAGGGAGCUUGCUCCUGGAUUCAGCGGCGGACGGGUGAGUAAUGCCUAGGAAUCUGCCUGGUAGUGGGGGAUAACGUCCGGAAACGGGCGCUAAUACCGCAUACGUCCUGAGGGAGAAAGUGGGGGAUCUUCGGACCUCACGCUAUCAGAUGAGCCUAGGUCGGAUUAGCUAGUUGGUGGGGUAAAGGCCUACCAAGGCGACGAUCCGUAACUGGUCUGAGAGGAUGAUCAGUCACACUGGAACUGGGACACGGUACAGACUCCUACGGGAGGCAGCAGUGGGGAAUAUUGGACAAUGGGCGAAAGCCUGAUCCAGCCAUGCCGCGUGUGUGAAGAAGGUCUUCGGAUUGUAAAGCACUUUAAGUUGGGAGGAAGGGCAGUAAGUUAAUACCUUGCUGUUUUGACGUUACCAACAGAAUAAGCACCGGCUAACUUCGUG
rnacentral:rRNA from 1 species